AUACGUAGGGGGCAAGCGUUGUCCGGAAUGAUUGGGCGUAAAGGGCGCGUAGGCGGCCCGGUAAGUCUGGAGUGAAAGUCCUGUUUUUAAGAUGGGAAUUGCUUUGGAUACUGUCGGGCUUGAGUGCAGGAGAGGUAAGUGGAAUUCCCAGUGUAGCGGUGAAAUGCGUAGAGAUUGGGAGGAACGCCAGUGGCGAAGGCGGCUUACUGGACUGUAACUGACGCUGAGGCGCGAAAGUGUGGGGAGCAAACAGGAUUAGAUACCCUGGUAGUCCACACUGUAAACGAUGAAUGCUAGGUGUAGGGGGUAUCGACCCCUUCUGUGCCGCAGUCAACACAAUAAGCAUUCCGCCUGGGGAGUACGGCCGCAAGGUUGAAACUCAAAUGAAUUGACGGGG
rnacentral:rRNA from 1 species